rnacentral:rRNA from 1 species
UACGUAGGGCGCAAGCGUUGUCCGGAAUUAUUGGGCGUAAAGAGCUCGUAGGCGGCCAGUUGCGUCUGCUGUGAAAUCCCGGGGCUCAACCCCGGGCGUGCAGUGGAUACGGGCUGGCUAGAGGCAGGCAGGGGAGAACGGAAUUCCCGGUGUAGCGGUGAAAUGCGCAGAUAUCGGGAGGAACACCGGUGGCGAAGGCGGUUCUCUGGG